rnacentral:rRNA from 1 species
CAAGCUACCCUAGGUACAUGCUCAAUCUGUGGUGUUGAAGAUGAAUGUGUUUUUCAUGCUUUGGUAUGAUGUCCCAAGGUACGUGCAUUCCGUAUGAGUUUGAGGGAGGUGUGGAACUUGCCGGAUGAAGAUAUUUUAAACUGUUCGGGGCCGGACUGGUUACUUAUUUUAUUGGAUCAGUUAAGUUCGCCUAUGCGUGAGCAAACAAUUUUCUUGUUCUGGAGAGCUUGGCAUUUGAGAAAUGACUUCAUUUUUGGUAAAGGAAAGGAAUCU